rnacentral:lncRNA from 1 species
CUUCCACUGAAGAAAAUGCAAAAAUAUUUCCCUUUUCUCUUCCCAUUCUCACCUCUACAUCUUGUGUGGCAUGAUGACAAAUUCAUGAUGUCAAGAAUCCGUUAAUUUGGCUGAACCUCAGUCCUAAGAUACUCUUGUCCAAUAAACAUGAAUUUAUCAAAUUUAUUUGAUUUCAUGAAAUCAUUUGAAAAGAAAGAAACUCCUGCAUAAUUUUAAUUUUUCUCAGAAUGCAGCAGACCAUCAUAGAAGGAACGGAUAGCAAGUUCGGAGUCACACGGGUCCUCGUGUGAAUACUGACUCUGCCACUUACUGGCAGUUAUUUAUGUGGUUUCAGAUUUGUGGUUUGAUAAGGUGGAAGAUUCGGGGCUUCUUUCUUGCAGAUAUAAAUCAUGAAGUCACAAGCUUCCAGAGUGAAUUAAUCUACAGUUGAUAGUAUGAUGCAGGUGAAGACUGGAAGAUAAUUGUUCAUCCUUCAUUUUA